GGGUGAGUAAUGCAUCGGAACGUGCCCAGUAGUGGGGGAUAGCCCGGCGAAAGCCGGAUUAAUACCGCAUACGACCUACGGGUGAAAGCGGGGGAUCGCAAGACCUCGCGCUGUUGGAGCGGCCGAUGUCAGAUUAGGUUGUUGGUGAGGUAAAGGCUCACCAAGCCGACGAUCUGUAGCUGGUCUGAGAGGACGACCAGCCACACUGGGACUGAGACACGGCCCAGACUCCUACGGGAGGCAGCAGUGGGGAAUUUUGGACAAUGGGGGCAACCCUGAUCCAGCCAUGCCGCGUGAGUGAAGAAGGCCUUCGGGUUGUAAAGCUCUUUCGGCCGGGAAGAAAUCGCGCAGGUUAAUACCCUGUGUGGAUGACGGUACCGGAAUAAGAAGCACCGGCUAACUACGUGCCAGCAGCCGCGGUAAUACGUAGGGUGCGAGCGUUAAUCGGAAUUACUGGGCGUAAAGCGUGNCGCAGGCGGUUUUGUAAGACAGGCGUGAAAUCCCCGGGCUCAACCUGGGAACUGCGCUUGUGACUGCAAGGCUAGAGUACGGCAGAGGGGGGUGGAAUUCCACGUGUAGCAGUGAAAUGCGUAGAGAUGUGGAGGAACACCGAUGGCGAAGGCAGCCCCCUGGGCCGAUACUGACGCUCAUGCACGAAAGCGUGGGUAGCAAACAGGAUUAGAUACCCUGGUAGUCCACGCCCUAAACGAUGUCAACUAGGUGUUGGGUGGGUAAAACCAUUUAGUACCGUAGCUAACGCGUGAAGUUGACCGCCUGGGGAGUACGGCCGCAAGGUUAAAACUCAAAGGAAUUGACGGGGACCCGCACAAGCGGUGGAUGAUGUGGAUUAAUUCGAUGCAACGCGAAAAACCUUACCUACCCUUGACAUGUCUGGAAUCCUGAAGAGAUUUGGGAGUGCCCGAAAGGGAGCCGGAACACAGGUGCUGCAUGGCUGUCGUCAGCUCGUGUCGUGAGAUGUUGGGUUAAGUCCCGCAACGAGCGCAACCCUUGUCGUUAAUUGCCAUCAUUUGGUUGGGCACUUUAACGAGACUGCCGGUGACAAACCGGAGGAAGGUGGGGAUGACGUCAAGUCCUCAUGGCCCUUAUGGGUAGGGCUUCACACGUCAUACAAUGGUCGGUACAGAGGGUUGCCAAGCCGCGAGGUGGAGCCAAUCCCAGAAAGCCGAUCGUAGUCCGGAUCGCAGGCUGCAACUCGCCUGCGUGAAGUCGGAAUCGCUAGUAAUCGCGGAUCAGCAUGUCGCGGUGAAU
rnacentral:rRNA from 1 species